UUACUCUGUUUUUCUCCUUUAAAAAGGUCCCAAGGCAGCUUAUAUAUUACUGAAAGACAUACGUGAUGGCCUCCCACCCGGCCAGCCCACCAUGGCUCAGUUCUCUUGCUUUAUGACCUUCUGUGGUCACCCGGGAGACCAGAAUCGAGCAGUAGGACAUUCCGAGAGAGAACCUGAAGUGGGUGGUUAGGGGAUAUGGGUUCACCUGGCGCUCUCAGGUGCUGGUUAUCCCAAUGGGCACCCGCAAUGGCCCAAGGCUUUCUCCUUCCCGGAAUGUCAAGGACCUUGUCUAGACCGCACUCAACAGCUGGGGCAUGCUCUGGGUGCAGAAGAGGUUGGUCCAUGCUGCUUCUAGCAGGCCACCUCUUGAAUUCCUACUUCUUCACCUUGACAGAAUGUGAUCAGAACUUUAGCAUCCUGGUCAUCGCAGAUCCAUGGUUCCCCUUAGUUGGCACAGAGGUCAGUCUCAUCCCGAACGACAGCAUGGAAAAUGUUCUCAUCUGCGCCUGGUACCGAUGGGAUAUAUCUGUUGAGAAUCAAAUCUUGGUCUACGAGCCGCCCCCGGUUUCCAAAGUGGAACAUAAGGACUCCUAUACUGGGCGGGAGAGCAUGACGGCAGAUUGCGCUCUCCACAUUGCGAAUGUAUCUCUCCCAGAUGGGGGUUAUUAUAUAAUCCAAAAGAACACCACUGUAGCCUCGGAAGCAGGACAGAUAUUCUUAAUGGUCGUAGAAGGUUUCCUGCAACCGAAAAGCCCCAAAGUUCUCUCCGAAGGAGCCAUUGCUGGGAUUUUUGUUCUGGGUGUUGUUAUAAUCACGGUCAUUGCAUCCCUGGUUUCGUAUAAGAUCUUAAGCAGUUCUGCAGGGUGAACCCCAUUGUCACAUUCCUGGUCCAAAAGAUUGACAGAAUUCAUGUCUGGCACAGGAUUCAGCCCACCUACAAAUUUCCUACCUCUUUCACCAGACAGAGAAGCCCCUUUAACGUGGAAAUCACAAUGGAAGUAUAAAGGAUAUCUUGCUAGUCCUUAAAAACCAAGUCUUACAGAUGUCCAGUACAGUAGGAGUGAGUGAAAAUGUAUCAUAUAUUUGAUCAAAAAAAUAAAACCCUUUCAUGCUCACA
rnacentral:lncRNA from 1 species